rnacentral:tRNA from 1 species
AGCAGAAUGGCCUAGUGGACAGAGCAUGGACCUGGGAGUUAGAAAGCCUGGGUUCUAAUCCUAGUUCUGCCA